CAAGACGGGUCGCUUAAAGCCAUUGCGCCAGCAUCCUAAGCGUGAAGGUGCCCGAAGGCCCGCCAUAAAGGCACGCUGCGUUCCUCAGUCCCGACCGCCGUAUCCAGUUAAAGGCUAUAACACCCCGAGGGGCCACAUUCCUUCAACCCUUAUCCGACAGUCAAAACUGAUGCUGGCCUGCGUAUUAGAAAAUACACCAUGCAAAAGCAAGGUUGAAUUCCAACAAGCAUGUCUAACUUUAAGCGCUUCCCUUUCGACAAUUUCACGUACUGUUUAACUCUCUUUCCAAAGUGCUUUUCAUCUUUCCCUCACGGUACUUGUUCGCUAUCGGUCUCUCCCCAAUAUUUAGCUUUAGAUGGAAUUUACCACCCAUUUUGAGCUGCAUUCCCAAACAACUCGACUCGUGGAGAGCGUAUCACAAAGCAUUGGGCAUCCAUGUCAAGUACGGGAUUUUCACCCUCUAUGACGUCCUAUUCCAAGGAACUUGUACAUGGUCCAACACGGAAAACACUUCUCGAGAUUACAACGCGGACACCGAAGGUGCCAGCUUUCAAAUUUGAGCUCUUCCCGCUUCACUCGCCGUUACUAGGGGAAUCCUUGUUAGUUUCUUUUCCUCCG
rnacentral:rRNA from 1 species